GAAGUCGUAACAAGGUAGCCGUAGGGGAACCUGCGGCUGGAUCACCUCCUUUCUAAGGAUGUUUCUAGUCAGAUAAGCUUGCUUAUCUCGUGAAACACUUAGCAACGAUCAGCAAACAAAGCUGGUCAACAUUCGGGCAUCAUAGAUGACCCGCGAGCCAGACUGCCCUCAUAUCUCUUCAGACAUACGAACUUGCCAGCGGGCAGGUUCAGCAAGGGGCCUUAGCUCAGCUGGGAGAGCGCCUGAUUUGCAUUCAGGAGGUCAGGAGUUCGAUCCUCCUAGGCUCCACCAAGCAUUCCAAGGCCCUUGUACUUAAAGAUUAAGUACUUAAUCACCACGGGCUGGCCCUUCUCGGUGACUUUGCUUUGCAAAGUAACCUGCCAGGGCGACGUCGAUUUUGCUUUGCAAAAUCAACUGGGUCGGUAGCUCAGGUGGUUAGAGCGCACGCCUGAUAAGCGUGAGGUCGGAGGUUCAAGUCCUCCUCGACCCACCAUCCUUCGAAAGAACAUAUCUUCAAGCAGUGACAUCACUGUUUGAACAUCUGUUCUCAGAUGAAAUUGACAUCGUUUAGAGAGAAUACAAUCAACAACACUGUUGGUCCCCCAAGUGCGGGUGUGACCUCAUGUGGGUGCUGAAAAAGAUCUUCGGACCUUUUGAUGCAAGCGUUGGAUCGGUCAUGUUUCCUCAGACCCCCAGCGUAUGCCGACAUGAAAAGACAGAGUUGUCCAAGUCAAGUACACUAACCCGCAUGAUUUAACCGUCAUGCAAAUGUUCGCUUCACCGACAUGAAGCGAGCGGGAAAGUAUGCUUUUGUACCAGAAAGACAAGUCACAGUUUCUUACCAGCUUCUGUGAUCGAAAGUGGCCCUCAAGUAGCGCUUUGCGCGGUAGGGCAGACAUAAGUCAACACUCUCUCUUUCUG
rnacentral:misc_RNA from 1 species